CACCGGCGGCUCGAGUGGUGGCCACUUUUAUUGGGUCUAAAGCGUCCGUAGCCGGCUUGGCAAGUCCCCUGGGAAAUCUGGCGGCUUAACCGUCAGGCGUCCAGAGGCUACUGCCAGGCUUGGGACCGGGAGAGGUGAGAGGUACCUCAGGGGUAGGGGUGAAAUCUUGUGAUCCCUGAGGGACCACCAGUGGCGAAGGCGUCUCACUAGAACGGGUCCGACGGUCAGGGACGAAAGCUGGGGGCACGAACCGG
rnacentral:rRNA from 1 species